rnacentral:rRNA from 1 species
UACAGAGGGUGCGAGCGUUGUCCGGAUUUACUGGGCGUAAAGCGCACGCAGGCGGUCUGCUAAGUUUGGAGUGACAGUUGGUGGCUUAACUGCCAAAGUGCUUCGAAAACUGACAGACUUGAGGGCUUCAGAGGGACACGGAAUUCCGGGUGGAGUGGUGAAAUGCGUAGAGAUCCGGAGGAACACCAAAGGCGAAGGCAGUGUCCUGGGGAGUACCUGACGCUCAGGUGCGAAAGCCAGGGGAGCGAACGGG